rnacentral:rRNA from 1 species
GUAGUUGGAUUUCUGUUAAUAAUUUAUAUAAAAUAUUUUGAUGAAUAUUUAUAUAAUAUUAACAUAAUUCAUAUUACUAUAUAUUUUAGUAUAUGAAAUUUUACUUUGAGAAAAUUAGAGUGCUUAAAGCAGGCAUAUGCCUUGAAUACUCCAGCAUGGAAUAAUAUUAAAGAUUUUUAUCUUUUUUAUUGGUUCUAAGAUAAGAAUAAUGAUUAAUAGGGACAGUUGGGGGCAUUUGUAUUUAACAGUCAGAGGUGAAAUUCUUAGAUUUGUUAAAGACAAACUAAUGCGAAAGCAUUUGCCAAGGAUGUUUUCAUUAAUCAAGAACGAAAGUUAGGGGAUCGAAGACGAUCAGAUACCGUCGUAGUCUUAACCAUAAACUAUGCCAACUAGAGAU